AGAAUCACUAGGCGCCGGCGCCUCCGAGGCAGUGUGUUUCCGCCCAGAGCUGGAGUCUCCCAGCUGCCAGCCGACCCCGAACCCGCACUCCCGCCAACCGCGCUUUUUGUGGGCGGUCGGAAACCACAGCCUCCGUUGGAUAUGUUCGGUGCAUGUUAUAAACAACCACUUAAACCCUCCGGAUCUGAGCCUCCCGCAGAGGAAUGCAGAAUGACGCCACGGCACGCAGGAUGUGAUGUCACCGAGAUGCAGAGGAUACUCAGUCAACCAACAUUUACUGAGCAUCUACUUCGUGCCGUAUGUACGAAGCUAGCAAAUAUGUACAGCACCAGUACUGAUUGCAGGGAGCACUGUAGAAGAGGAAUGAAGGCCAAACAAUUAAAAGCGGAGGCGGGGAGAUUGACUCUUUUCGCCGACACCUUGUAUUUCGUCUGGCAACCUUACUCACCCCUCAACCAUUUGUUUGAGUUGUUUAGAGUUAUGGAUAUAGUUAAAGUACGAAGCCAAAUGUGUGGGAAUAAUAACGCCAAAUUCAAGAUAGUGGUUUCAAUGGAGCACGAAGGAGAAAAACACCAUCAGGGGUCUUGUCAACGGAAAGGGGUCCCUAUCCAGACCCCAAGAGAGCAUUCUUGGAUCUCUUGCAAGAAAGAAUUUGAGGCGAAUCCAUAGAGUAAGCAAGGCAAGUUACUUCUAUAUAGAAGGGUGCACCCUUACAGAUCAAACAAUGCUUAGUGAUGUGUGUCAGACCUCUGAGCCCAAGCAAAGCCAUCAUAUCCCCUGUGACCUGCAUGUAUACAUCCAGAUGGCCUGAAGCAAGUGAAGAAUCACAAAAGAAGUGAAAAGGGCCGGUUCCUGCCUUAACUGAUGACAUUCCACCAUUGUGAUUUGUUCCUGCCCCACCUUAACUGAGCGAUUAACCUGUGAACUUCCUUCUCCUGGCUCAGAAGCUUCCCCACUGAGCACCUUGUGACCCCCGCCCCUGCCUGCCAUAGAACAACCCCCUUUGAUUGUAAUUUUCCUUUACCUACCCAAAUCCUAUAAAACGGCCCCACCCCUAUCUCCCUUCGCUGACACUCUCUUUGGACUCAGCCUGCCUGCACCUAGGUGAUUAAAAAGCUUUAUUGCUCACGCAAA